rnacentral:rRNA from 1 species
AGAGUUUGAUCAUGGCUCAGAUUGAACGCUGGCGGCAGGCCUAACACAUGCAAGUCGAGCGGUAGCACAGAGAGCUUGCUCUCGGGUGACGAGCGGCGGACGGGUGAGUAAUGUCUGGGAAACUGCCUGAUGGAGGGGGAUAACUACUGGAAACGGUAGCUAAUACCGCAUAACGUCGCAAGACCAAAGUGGGGGACCUUCGGGCCUCAUGCCAUCAGAUGUGCCCAGAUGGGAUUAGCUAGUAGGUGGGGUAACGGCUCACCUAGGCGACGAUCCCUAGCUGGUCUGAGAGGAUGACCAGCCACACUGGAACUGAGACACGGUCCAGACUCCUACGGGAGGCAGCAGUGGGGAAUAUUGCACAAUGGGCGCAAGCCUGAUGCAGCCAUGCCGCGUGUGUGAAGAAGGCCUUCGGGUUGUAAAGCACUUUCAGCGGGGAGGAAGGCGAUAAGGUUAAUAACCUUGUCGAUUGACGUUACCCGCAGAAGAAGCACCGGCUAACUCCGUGCCAGCAGCCGCGGUAAUACGGAGGGUGCAAGCGUUAAUCGGAAUUACUGGGCGUAAAGCGCACGCAGGCGGUCUGUCAAGUCGGAUGUGAAAUCCCCGGGCUCAACCUGGGAACUGCAUUCGAAACUGGCAGGCUAGAGUCUUGUAGAGGGGGGUAGAAUUCCAGGUGUAGCGGUGAAAUGCGUAGAGAUCUGGAGGAAUACCGGUGGCGAAGGCGGCCCCCUGGACAAAGACUGACGCUCAGGUGCGAAAGCGUGGGGAGCAAACAGGAUUAGAUACCCUGGUAGUCCACGCCGUAAACGAUGUCGAUUUGGAGGUUGUGCCCUUGAGGCGUGGCUUCCGGAGCUAACGCGUUAAAUCGACCGCCUGGGGAGUACGGCCGCAAGGUUAAAACUCAAAUGAAUUGACGGGGGCCCGCACAAGCGGUGGAGCAUGUGGUUUAAUUCGAUGCAACGCGAAGAACCUUACCUGGUCUUGACAUCCACAGAACUUUCCAGAGAUGGAUUGGUGCCUUCGGGAACUGUGAGACAGGUGCUGCAUGGCUGUCGUCAGCUCGUGUUGUGAAAUGUUGGGUUAAGUCCCGCAACGAGCGCAACCCUUAUCCUUUGUUGCCAGCGGUCCGGCCGGGAACUCAAAGGAGACUGCCAGUGAUAAACUGGAGGAAGGUGGGGAUGACGUCAAGUCAUCAUGGCCCUUACGACCAGGGCUACACACGUGCUACAAUGGCAUAUACAAAGAGAAGCGACCUCGCGAGAGCAAGCGGACCUCAUAAAGUAUGUCGUAGUCCGGAUUGGAGUCUGCAACUCGACUCCAUGAAGUCG